rnacentral:rRNA from 1 species
AUUGAACACUGGCGGCAUGCCUUACACAUGCAAGUCGAACGGCAGCAUGAUCUAGCUUGCUAGAUUGAUGGCGAGUGGCGAACGGGUGAGUAAUACAUCGGAACGUGCCCUGUAGUGGGGGAUAACUAGUCGAAAGAUUAGCUAAUACUGCAUACGACCUGAGGGUGAAAGUGGGGGACCGCAAGGCCUCAUGCUAUACGAGCGGCCGAUGUCUGAUUAGCUAGUUGGUGAGGUAAAGGCUCACCAAGGCGACGAUCAGUAGCUGGUCUGAGAGGACGAUCAGCCACACUGGGACUGAGACACGGCCCAGACUCCUACGGGAGGCAGCAGUGGGGAAUUUUGGACAAUGGGGGCAACCCUGAUCCAGCAAUGCCGCGUGUGUGAAGAAGGCCUUCGGGUUGUAAAGCACUUUUGUCCGGAAAGAAAUCGCACUUACUAAUAUUAGGUGUGGAUGACGGUACCGGAAGAAUAAGGACCGGCUAACUACGUGCCAGCCGCCGCAGUAACAC